AGUGAACGCUGGCGGUAGGCCUAACACAUGCAAGUCGAACGGCAGCACAGUAAGAGCUUGCUCUUACGGGUGGCGAGUGGCGGACGGGUGAGGAAUACAUCGGAAUCUACUUUUUCGUGGGGGAUAACGUAGGGAAACUUACGCUAAUACCGCAUACGACCUACGGGUUAAAGCAGGGGAUCUUCGGACCUUGCGCGAUUGAAUGAGCCGAUGUCGGAUUAGCUAGUUGGCGGGGUAAAGGCACACCAAGGCGACGAUCCGUAGCUGGUCUGAGAGGAUGAUCAGCCACACUGGAACUGAGACACGGUCCAGACUCCUACGGGAGGCAGCAGUGGGGAAUAUUGGACAAUGGGCGAAAGCCUGACCCAGCAAUACCGCGUGGGUGAAGAAGGCCUUCGGGUUGUAAAGCCCUUUUGUUGGGAAAGAAAAGCAGCAGGUUAAUACACGGCUGUUCUGACGGUACCCAAAGAAUAAGCAACGGCUAACUUCGUG
rnacentral:rRNA from 1 species